rnacentral:rRNA from 1 species
CCCCUAGAUGUUCUGGGCCGCACGCGCGCUACACUGAACAGUUCAACAAGUCUUAACCUUGGCCGAUGGGUCUGGGUAAUCUUUGAACGCUGUUCGUGAUUGGGAUAGACCUUUGCAAUUAUGGGUCUUCAACGAGGAAUUCCUAGUAAACGCAAGUCAUCAGCUUGCAUUGAUUACGUCCCUGCCCUUUGUACACACCGCCCGUCGCACCUACCGAUUGAAUGGUCCGGUGAAAUCUCGGGACGGCGGCUUGGUCGCUUGCGUCCGACUGCUGAAACUUGAUUAAACCAUAUCAUUUAGAGGAAGGUGAAGUCGUAACA